rnacentral:rRNA from 1 species
AUGCAAGUCGAGGGGCAGCGCGGGCGGCAACGUCCUGGCGGCGACCGGCGGAAGGGUGCGUAACGCGUGAGCGACAUGCCCGUUGCCCGUGGACAACCGGUGGAAACGCCGACUAAUCCCCGAUGGGAUAUUGUGCCGCAUGGCACGAUAUUGAAAGUUACGGCGGCGACGGAUUGGCUCGCGUCCGAUUAGCUGGUUGGCGGGGUAACGGCCCACCAAGGCUACGAUCGGUAGGGGUUCUGAGAGGAAGGUCCCCACAUUGGAACUGAGACACGGUCCAAACUCC